rnacentral:rRNA from 1 species
AGUGAACGCUGGCGGUAGGCCUAACACAUGCAAGUCGAACGGCAGCACAGUAAGAGCUUGCUCUUACGGGUGGCGAAUGGCGGACGGGUGAGGAAUACAUCGGAAUCUACUUUUUCGUGGGGGAUAAGGUAGGGAAACUUACGCUAAUACCGCAUACGACCUACGGGUGAAAGCAGGGGAUCUUCGGACCUUGCGCGAUUGAAUGAGCCGAUGUCGGAUUAGCUAGUUGGCGGGGUAAAGGCCCACCAAGGCGACGAUCCGUAGCUGGUCUGAGAGGAUGAUCAGCCACACUGGAACUGAGACACGGUCCAGACUCCUACGGGAGGCAGCAGUGGGGAAUAUUGGACAAAGGGCGCAAGCCUGAUCCAGCCAUACCGCGUGGGUGAAGAAGGCCUUCGGGUUGUAAAGCCCUUUUGUUGGGAAAGAAAGGCAGCAGGUUAAUACCCCGCUGUUCUGACGGUACCCAAAGAAUAAGCACCGGCUAACUUCGUG